rnacentral:rRNA from 1 species
CCUUCCCCUCCGAUUCGGAAACAAUCUUUUCCAGGUUGGAAAUCUGCAAUUGGAUCGCUUGCCGUUUUUCCUGCACGGCUUCCUGGCUUUGCUGCCGGACAAUUUCCAGUUUCCGCUCGCUGCGGGUUCUCUCCGAAAUGCAUUUAGGUGCAGCGUUACGUGUUUCUUGCUGGAGGUAGAGCUACUGGAUGGCCGAGGGGACCUACAAGUUUACCAACGUCAGCCAAACUCCGAAUGCCAGUAAGUGAGAACGUAGCAGUGAGACAGUGGGGGAUAAGCUUCAUUGUCGAGAGGGAAACAACCCAGAACAGCAACUAAGGUCCCAAAGCGUGUGCUAAGUGGAAAAGGAUGUGAAGUCGCAUAGACAACCAGGAUGUUGGCUUAGAAGCAGCCACCAUUAAAAGAGUGCGUAAUAGCUCACUGGUCAAGUGAUUUCGCGCCGACAAUGUAACGGGGCUCAAGCACAGCACCGAAGUUCUGUCAUUCACACACUAUCCCGGUCGCAAGAUCCAGGAGUGUGGAUGGGUAGGAGAGCGUUGUGUAACUAGUGAAGCGGCGGAGGAAUCCAGCCGUGGAAGUUACACAAGUGAGAAUGUAGACAUGAGUAGCGAAAGACGGGUGAGAAACCCGUCCACCGAAUGACCAAGGGUUCCUGAGCCAGGCUAAUCCGCUCAGGGUAAGUCGGGUCCUAAGGCGAGGCCGACAGGCGUAGUCGAUGGACAACUGGUUGAUAUUCCAGUACCCGCAAUAAACCGUCCGUGACGAAUCAAUAAUGCUAAGUGUUUGAAGUUGGCUAGCAAUAGCUGAUGGAGCGCACGACCCAAGUUGGUAGUAGUCAAGCAAUGGAGAGACGCAGGAAGGUAGUCCAACCCAGGCGAUGGUUGACCUGGGGUAAGAGUGUAGGAGGUUCUGUAGGCAAAUCCGCAGAACAAUCUCUGAGACUUAAUGCCGAGCCGUAAGGCGAAGUGGAUGAUCCUAUGCUGCCAAGAAAAUCUUCUAGCGAGGUUUAUAGUGGCCCGUACCCGAAACCGACACAGGUGGUCAGGUAGAGAAUACCAAGGCGAUCGAGAGAAUCGUGGUGAAGGAACUCGGCAAAUUACCUCCGUAACUUCGGGAUAAGGGGGGCCAAUUUACGUGUAGGGGUUUACCCCCGAAGCGCGAGUUGGCCGCAGAGACUAGGCUCAAGCGACUGUUUACCAAAAACACAGGUCCGUGCUAAUUCGUAAGAAGACGUAUACGGACUGACGCCUGCCCGGUGCUGGAAGGUUAAGGGGACUGGUUAGCCGCAAGGCGAAGCUGAGAACUUAAGCCCCAGUAAACGGCGGUGGUAACUAUAACCAUCCUAAGGUAGCGAAAUUCCUUGUCGGGUAAGUUCCGACCUGCACGAAUGGCGUAACGACUUGAGCGCUGUCUCCACCAUGAACUCGGCGAAAUUGCAGUACGAGUAAAGAUGCUCGUUACGCGCGGAAAGACGGAAAGACCCCGGGACCUUUACUAUAUCUUGAUAUUGGUACUCGGAACGUUCUGUGUAGCAUAGGUGGGAAGCGGAGAACUUCUCCUUGAGGGGGGAAGGGAGCUAACGGUGAGAUACCACUCUGGCGAAGCUAGAAUUCUAACUCAUCACCGUAAGCCGGUGAGAGGAAAGUUACAGGUGGCUAUCGUGACUGGGAAAC